rnacentral:tRNA from 1 species
GGGCCCGUAGCUCAUUGGACAGAGUGCUUGGUUCCGGACCAAGAUGCCGCGGGUUCGAAUCCCGUCGGGUCCGCCA